UGUGUAAUUAUAUAUACUAAAUUUAUUAAGUCAGGAAGAAUCACAAUAGGAAAUAAAACUCUUCAAGAUAAUUUUACACUGCUAUGCAUUUAUGGUUGAGUUUAAACCCAAGACCUCUGGUAAGGUUGGAAGAGACUCAUUGUCAACUCAUUCAAAAGCUCUUAAGCAUUGUUUAUUUGUGUAUGUGUUGGUUAUAACGUUAAUACAACAACAACCAAACAUUA
rnacentral:lncRNA from 1 species